rnacentral:lncRNA from 1 species
CUUGGUAGGUUGAAAAUGGUAAGUGUAGGGACUUUAAAGGUGUUUUUUUUAGAGUGGUUUUGUUUGGUGACUUGGUAGGUUUAAAAUGGUGAAGUGUCAGGACUUUAAAGGUUCUUUUUAGGUUUUAAAAUGGCUAUGUUUGGUGACGUGGUAGCCUAAAAAUGGUUAAGUAUAGGGACUUUAAAGGUGCUUUUUUGUUUUGAAAGUUCUUAUGUUUGGUGACUUGGUAGGUUGAAAAUGGUUAAAUGUUGUGACUUUAAAUGUGUUUUUUUU